AUUGAACGCUGGCGGAAUGCUUUACACAUGCAAGUCGAACGGUAGAGGGGGCAACCCCUCGAGAGUGGCGAACGGGUGAGUAAUACAUCGGAACGUGCCCAAUCGUGGGGGAUAACGUAGUGAAAAUUACGCUAAUACCGCAUACGAUCUAUGGAUGAAAGCGGGGGAUCGCAAGACCUCGCGCGAUUGGAGCGGCCGAUAUCAGAUUAGGUAGUUGGUGGGGUAAAGGCCCACCAAGCCAACGAUCUGUAGCUGGCCUGAGAGGACGACCAGCCACACUGGAACUGAGACACGGUCCAGACUCCUACGGGAGGCAGCAGUGGGGAAUUUUGGACAAUGGGCGAAAGCCUGAUCCAGCCAUCCCGCGUGCAGGAUGAAGGCCCUCGGGUUGUAAACUGCUUUUGUACAGAACGAAAAGGUUUCUACUAAUACUAGGAGCUCAUGACGGUACUGUAAGAAUAAGCACCGGCUAACUACGUGCCAGCCGCCGCCGUAA
rnacentral:rRNA from 1 species